GGGUACAGUGGCGAACGGGUGAGGAACACGUGGACGACCGACCCUCGAGUGGGGAAUAACUGCCUGAAAGGGUGGCUAAUACCGCAUACGUUCCCAGAGGUGACGGCCUUAGGGAAGAAAGCCUUCGGGCGCUCGUGGACGGGUCUGCGGCCGAUUAGCUAGUUGGUGGGGUCACGGCCUACCAAGGCGACGAUCGGUAGCUGGUCUGAGAGGACGGCCAGCCACACGGGGACUGGGACACGGCCCCGACUCCUACGGGAGGCAGCAGCAAGGAAUAUUGGGCAAUGGCCGAAAGGCUGACCCAGCGACGCCGCGUGGGGGAUGAAGGCCUUCGGGUCGUAAACCCCUUUUCUCAGGGACGAAGAUGACGGUACCUGAGGAAGAAGCCCCGGCUAACUACGUGCCAGCAGCCGCGGUAAUACGUAGGGGGCGAGCGUUGUCCGGAAUUACUGGGCGUAAAGCGCACGUAGGUGGUACGUCAAGUUCGGCGUGAAAUCUCCAGGCUCAACUUGGAGGGGUCGUCGAAGACUGGCGAACUAGGGUCUGGCAGAGGCAGGUAGAAUUCCCGGUGGAGCGGUGAAAUGCGUAGAGAUCGGGAGGAAUACCAGUGGCGAAGGCGGCCUGCUGGGCCACGACCGACACUGAGGUGCGAAAGCGUGGGGAGCGAACCGGAUUAGAUACCCGGGUAGUCCACGCCCUAAACGAUGGGUACUAGGCGUGGGGGGUAUCGACCCCCUCUGUGCCGAAGCUAACGCGAGAAGUACCCCGCCUGGGGAGUACGGCCGCAAGGUUGAAACUCAAAGGAAUUGACGGGGGCCCGCACAAGCAGCGGAGCGUGUGGUUUAAUUCGACGCAACGCGCAGAACCUUACCAGGGUUUGAAACGCCUCUUACAAUCGGGGAAACCCGGUGGCCGCAAGGCGUGAGGUACAGAUGCUGCAUGGCUGUCGUCAGCUCGUGCCGUGAGGUGUCGGGUUAAGUCCCGCAACGAGCGCAACCCCUGUCGCUAGUUGAGUGUCUAGCGAGACCGCCCCCGUAAGGGGGAGGAAGGCGGGAUGACGUCAAGUCAGCACGGCUCUUACAUCCUGGGCUACACACACGCUACAAUGGGCGCGACAGAGGGCAGCGAACCCGCGAGGGGGAGCGAAUCCCAGAAAGGCGUCCUCAGUUGGGAUUGCAGGCUGCAACUCGCCUGCAUGAACGUGGAGUUGCUAGUAACCGCAGGUCAGCACUACUGCGGUGAAUACGUUCCCGGGCCUUGUACACAUCGCCCGUCACGUCAUGAAAGUUGGGAACACCUGAAGUCGCUGGGCCGACCGCAAGGAGGUAGGCGCCGAGGGUGGGUCCGAUGAUUGGGACGAAGUCGUAACAAGGUA
rnacentral:rRNA from 1 species